rnacentral:tRNA from 1 species
CCCGGUGUAGCUCAGCGGAUAGAGCAGCAGGUUUCUGCCCUGCGAGUCGGUGGUUCGAAUCCACCCAUCGGGG